rnacentral:lncRNA from 1 species
GCUACCUGCUCAGGAAGGAAGUGCGAUGGUUCAUUUUAGGUGUCAACUUGACUGAAUUCAGGAAUACCUAGCAACUUAGUAAAGCAUGAUUUUGGGGUGUGUUUGUGGGGGUGUUAUCAGAGGAGAUUAGAUAUGAGUCUGAAGGAUUAGAUGGAGAAGAUCUGCCCUCAAUGUUGGCAUGAACCAUCCAAUCUACUGGGGGCUGGGAGAAAACAAAAAUAGAGAAAAAGUGAGUCUGUUAAUUUUGCUGCUGGGGCUGGGAUAACUUCUUCCUCUCCUAUUCUAGGACAAUAACUCCGGGCUCCCCAGCCUUUGGACUCCAGUGCUUAACAAGAAGGCCCCUUCAGGAUUCUCAGACCUUUGGUUUUGGACUGAGAAAUACACCAUUGGCUUUCCUGGUUCUGAGGCUUUUGGUCUUGGACUGAGCCACGCCGUCAGCAUCCCAGGGUUUGCAGCUUGCAGAUCGCCUGUCAUGGGACUUCUCAGCCUCCGUAAUCACGUGUUGCCGUAAGUCUACUGAGCUCUCUGGGUGUCUAACCUUGCCUUCUUGUCAUCAGCUAUUAAAACUACUAAAACAGAAGAAUGCUUAACCACUACAGCUGUUAAAACAUUAGUACGUGCUUUGCACUUCGGGUUUCAGGAUCGAGAACAUCCUGGAAAUAAGAGCGGAAGCAGAAAAGCCAGCAGAGCAGGCCAUCACAAUAGACGUGGCGUGAGAUGUCAUGGAACUGGAGCAGUUAAACCUCAUUCUCCAGGGUACUGGUGCUACUGCCAAGAGCGGAAAACUUUCAUCUUCCAAAACCUCAAUCAGCCAGUUUCUCAUCUGCAUCCCAUAAAUCAUCAAGAAAGAACAAGCUCAUUAUCUCAGCACCAGGGACAAAAGUCUUUUACAUGACACUGAACUUCUGACUACUGCAAAACAUGGCAGCUUGCCAUCAUAUGUUUAACAGGUGUGUUGGUCCCUUUAACAGACUGGGCCAGAAGUUUGAGGAUAUGGUCUGAAAUUUCAAUUUUGUUACGUGUUGUGACUUGCACUGGGCCCAAAUCCAGAGGUAAUUGGGCCUAGUGGUCUGAAGAGUUACUUGGGUGUUCUGUAAUUUUAGUAGAUUUGGAGAAAGAGAGGUGGGGAUGUCUGUCCCUGAAGAUAUUUUCUCAUAGAAGCAAGGAAUUACAGGAACUUCUCUGUUGUGUUUUGGGUAAGUGUUUCCAUGCUGCUACUCUGAAUAAUAGGGUAGAUAUUUCCAGGUACAGGCUGUUAAAAUUUGCUAUAUUACCUCCAUUCUGUAUGUAGUUCCUUCUCUACAUAACAGUGUUGGUUAGGUAGUGGAACCUUCUAAAUGACGCACUAUGUGAUUCCUGUGUCAUAUAGAAUGUUCUAUGAUUCUUAGCCAGAUAAUCAUAUUCCCAGAAAAGGCCUCUCAACUUUCACCUGCCUUUCUAAGGACUGAAAUACUCUGAGUGUUGCAUAAAGGGUGUUCCAAAUAUGGGCAUUCACCUGUUUCCUGAUUAAAAAAAGAUAAUUUGGUAUGAA